UAACAGACAGGACCCUCAGCUGCAGGUCUGUUGGAGUACCCUGCAGUGUGAGGUGUCAGUGUGCCCCUGCUGGAGGGUGCCUCCCAGUUAGGCUGCUCGGGGGUCAGGGGUCAGGGACCCACUUGAGGAGGCAGUCUGCCUGUUCUCAGAUCUCCAGCUGUGUACUGGGAGAACCACUGCUCUCUUCAAAGCUGUCAGACAGGGACAUCUAAGUCUGCAGAGGUUACUGCUGUCUUUUUGUUUGUCUCUGCCCUGCCCCCAGAGGUGGAGCCUACAGAGGCAGGCAGGCCUCCUUGAGCUGUGGUGGGCUCCACCCAGCUCCAGGUUCCUGGCUGCUUUGUUUAACUAAGCAAGCCUGGGCAAUGGUGGGCGCCCCUCCCCCAGCCUCGCUGCCGCCUUGCAGUUUGAUCUCAGACUGCUGUGCCAGCAAUCAGCGAGACUCCGUGGGGUAAGAGCCUCCGAGCCAGGUGUGGGAUAUAAUCUCGUGGUGCGCCGUUUUUUAAGCCCAUCGGAAAAGCGCAGUAUUCGGGUGGGAGUGACCCGAUUUUCCAGGUGCCUUCAGUCACCCCUUUCUUUGAUUAGGAAAGGGAACUCCCUGACCCCUUGCGCUUCCCGAGAGAGGCAAUGGCUCCCCCUGCUUUGGCUCGCGCAGGGUGCGCGCACCCACUGACCUGCGCCCACUCUCUGGCACUCCCUAGUGAGAUGAACCCGGUACCUCAGAUGGAAAUGCAGAAAUCACCCGUCUUCUGCGUCGCUCACGCUGGGAGCUGUAGACCGGAGCUGUUCCCAUUCGGCCAUCCUGGCUCCUCCGAGUCAAAAAGCAUACUCUUAAUCACCAUGCUAUGCUACCCCAAGGCAAAGGCAUUUUAGGAAAAAUAAGGUCAAAUCUUGCAGCUAUCAAUGAAGUAUAUUUUGCAAUUAAUUUACCUCAGUGAGAUCACCAGGAAGUUGCCCUGUGAUGAGUUCUUUAUGGCUCUGUAGAGCCAAAUCUGUUUCCUAAGCAAAAUGUGGACCUAAGCCCCAAUGGGUUCCUUUGAGCAACCUCUGUUCAGAAUCACUGUGGCCAACUUGUCAGCCAAAUGUGCCAGUUUCAGGUAUGUCUUUAUCAGCAGCAUGAAAACGGACUAAUACACUGCCCAUGCCAAAAACACAGAUAAGUGACACCAAUAGAAGAGUGCCACGGGGCUCUUGAGCUGAAACUUCCUAUGGAAUAUGGGGAUAGAAUGAGGAGUCUUCACUCAAAAAGACUGUGAUUAAACCACCAGGAAUUUUCUUACCUUAAUUUGGCAAAAUAAUGUUUUCUGCAAUAAAUAGCAGUCAGAGUUUGAGACCCAAGAUCAGUAGGAAAAUAAAAUUAGAACUCUACACAUGUGAUAAUAUAAUCUGAAAUUUUAAAAUGGCUAUGAAAAUAAGGCAUUUACUCAAAAAGGAAAAGACUUAUAAUUCCCAAAUAAGCUCUUACUUGAAAAAUGGAAAAAUAAUUGUAGCCCAUCUCAGAGAGUUGUUAUAAUUCAGUAUAUUAGUAUAUGCAACAGAGAUGACUAAAUAAAUAUCAGCUAUUUUGUUAUAAUUACUGAUUAUAACUAACAUCAUGUUGAUUUCGAUGUAUAAUCUUGCUUUAUACAUCCAGGUACUGCAUAGGGUAGCAUGAAUCAACACGACUUUUUGUAUAAUUUGCCCAUUUGAAAAUCUGCUGAAAGCUGAGGACUGCCCCCUAUAAAAGAGAACACACAGACACCAAAUUUUGCAGGUAAUUUAAGGAGUUCAACAGUAACACAGGUUCUUUUUUGAGCCUCUAAAAAUCACUGAGCCUCUAAAAAUAAUUGGGUCCCAGGUGGAAAGCCCGUGGUUUCAACAUUGCAAAUAACAUCUACUAGGGCAUUUAACCUUCAAGGAGCUAUAUAUUUUUUUAUUUUUGAUAGAAUAAAUAAACUUGUGUCAUCAAAAUAUUUUCUUGGACAAUGAGAAAAGACAACCAACAGCCACUAACACCAAAAUGACAAAGAUGUUGCAAUUAUCUGACAAGGACUUUAAGGCAAUAAUUAUAAAAAUGAUUCAAUAAGCAAUUAAAAAACACUCUUGAAACAAAUGAAAAAAAGUCUUAGCAAAAAAAAAGUAUAAAGAAGAAUCAAAUGAAAAUUUUAGAACUGAGGUAAAUACAAAAACAAAAAAACUCAACGGAGGAGCUUAACAACAAAAUGAAGAGGACAGAGGAAACAGUGAACUUGAAGCUAGAACAGUAAAAAUUACCCAACUUGAACAAAAGAGAAAAAAUAGACUGGGAGAAGGGUUGGAAUUCAUGAACAGAAACUAAAGGACCUGUGGAACUAAAACGAAAGAUUUAACCUCAUGUCAUUGGAAACUAGAAAGGAGAAAAGAAAGAGAGUGGAGCCAAAAAAUAUUCUAAGAAAUAAUUGCUGAUAUUUUCCAAAAUUUGGCAAAAGACAUAUGCCUACAGAUUCAAAACGAUAAGCCAACUCUAAACAGAGAAAAAAUGGAUAGAAAUCCAAACCAAAAUACAUAAAAAUUACACUUCUGAUACUGUGAAGAAAAACUCUUAAAGUAGUGAGAGAAAAACGACAUUUUACCAAUAGGGCAAAAAUAAUUUAAAUGACAAAUUUGUCAACAGAAAUUAUGGAUGACAGAAGGAAAUGGUACAACAUUUUCAAAUGCUGAAAGAAAAGAAAUGUCAGCCUCCAGUUCUAUAUAUGGUUAAAUUAUCCUUCAAAAAUCAAGACAUUUGGCCGGGCGCAGUGGCUCACGCCUGUAAUCCCAGAACCUUGGGAGGCCGAGGCGGGCGGAUCACUUGAGGUCAGGAGUUUGAGAACAGCCUAACCAACAUGGCGAAACCCCGUCUCUAUUAAAAAUACAAAAAAAAAAAAAAAAAAAAAAUAGCUGGGCGUGGUGGCAGGUGCCUGUAAUCCCAGCUGCUCAGGAGGCUGAGCCAGGAGAAUCCCUUGAACCCGGGAGGCGGAGGUUGCAGCGAGACGAGAUAGCACCAUUGCACUCCAGCCCGGCAACAAGAGUGAAACUCCAUCUCAAAUAAAUAA
rnacentral:lncRNA from 1 species